rnacentral:rRNA from 1 species
CCUACGGGUGGCAGCAGUGAGGAAUAUUGGUCAAUGGGCGCGAGCCUGAACCAGCCAAGUAGCGUGAAGGAUGACUGCCCUACGGGUUGUAAACUUCUUUUAUAAAGGAAUAAAGUGAGGCACGUGUGCCUCUUUGUAUGUACUUUAUGAAUAAGCAUCGGCUAACUCCGUGCCAGCAGCCGCGGUAAUACGGAGGAUCCGAGCGUUAUCCGGAUUUAUUGGGUUUAAAGGGAGCGUAGAUGGGUUGUUAAGUCAGUUGUGAAAGUUUGCGGGUCAACCGUAAAAUUGCAAUUGAUACUGGGUGUCGUGAGUACAGUUGAGGUAGGCGGAAUUCGUGGUGUAGCGGUGAAAUGCUUAGAUAUCACGAAGAACUCCGAUUGCGAAGGCAGCUUACUAGACUGCCACUGACAUUGAUGCACGAAAGUGUGGGUAUCAAACAGGAUUAGAUACCCUUGUAGUC